rnacentral:rRNA from 1 species
GACGAACGCUGGCGGCGUGCUUAACACAUGCAAGUCGAACGGAAAGGCCCUGCUUUUGUGGGGUGCUCGUGUGGCGAACGGGUGAGUAACACGUGAGUAGCCUGCCCUUGACUUUGGGAUAACUUCAGGAAACUGGGGCUAAUACCGGAUAUGAACUCCUGCUACAUGGUGGGGGUUGGAAAACUUCGGCGGUUGGGGAUGGACUCGCGGUUUAUCAGCUUGUUGGUGGGGUAGUGGCUUACCAAGGCUUUGACGGGUAGCCGGCCUGAGAGGGUGACCGGCCACAUUGGGCCUGAGAUACGGCCCAGAGUCCUACUGGAGGCAGCAGUGGGGAAUAUUGCACAAUGGGCGGAAGCCUGAUGCAGCAACGCCGCGUGCGGGAUGACGGCCGGCGGGUUGUAACCCGCUUUCGCCUGUGACGAAGCGUGAGUGACGGUAAUGGGUAAAGAAGCACCGGCUAACUACGUG